rnacentral:rRNA from 1 species
UACAGAGGGUGCGAGCGUUGUCCGGAAUUAUUGGGCGUAAAGAGCUCGUAGGCGGUUUGUCGCGUCUGCUGUGAAAACCUAAGGCUCAACCUUGGGCUUGCAGUGGGUACGGGCAGACUAGAGUGCGGUAGGGGUGACUGGAAUUCCUGGUGUAGCGGUGAAAUGCGUAGAUAUCAAGAGGAACACCUGAGGUGAAGACGGGUUGCUGGGCUGACACUGACGCUGAUGCGCGAAAGCCAGGGGAGCAAACGGG